CUCGGACGAUGUUACGUAUGCGUUUGCGGGGGAAAAAAAAGGGUUAACACCAAGUUCAUUUACAAAUAUGAAUGUGUGAACACCAGGUGUCCUCAGUUGCAAAUGAAACACCAAAAGGAGCAAAGAAGCACGCUGAUUUUUUCAUUACAAAGUAUGUUUAUUACAGUCUAUUAUGCUCCAUGUACAAAUGUACAAUUUUCACACAAAUAAGAGACUUCACAAAGAAAUAAAUAUAAUCUUUAAAAAAAAAAAAAUACAACUUUGCACUGAAUAUAAUAUGUAAAGUAAACAUCACAAUAUCAAAAUAUUUUCUAGCAAAUUUCAUACAACACCUUGUCCUUACAGGUUACAAAAAUAUUGUUUUAGCAUACUGUUUCUGUUUGUUUGUUUGUUUGUUUGUUUGUUUUUAUUAGAGGGAUAAUGGCUUUAUAAAAACCUUAUAAAUCUGUCUGUAUUUAAAAAGUGCUCAUAAAACCCUACAAUAGUAACAUUUUCUGUGUUUUAAUCUACACAGGUGUUUUCCUUCAUUGACAAGUAGUUUUUACAAUGUUUUCCCACCACACACACACACACACACACACACACACACACA